rnacentral:rRNA from 1 species
UACGUAGGGGGCCAGCGUUGUCCGGACUUACUGGGCGUAAAGCGCGCGCAGGCGGACACCUGUGUGCCGUGUGAAAGCGCCGGACUUACUCCGGCGAGGUCAUGGUAGACAGGGUGUCUGGAGCCUCGGAGAGGUCGGUGGAAUUCCGGGUGGAGCGGUGAAAUGCGUAGAUAUGCGGAGGAACACCGAUGGCGAAGGCAAUCCCCUGGGCCUGCACUGACGCUCAUGCACGAAAGCGUGGGGAGCAAACAGG